rnacentral:misc_RNA from 1 species
GUGAAUCAUCAAAUUUUUGAACGCAAAUUGCACUCUCCGGUUUUCCGGGAGAGUAUGCCCGUUUGAGGGUCAGCCUAAAAAAAUCGACAUUGUUGCUGUUUUAUGGUGACUUUCGUCGGAGAUGGGUUAUCUUAAAUCUCGGUUUAAGCGACUUAAAAAUUUUUUUUUCGGUUUCAAAGAUUUUUUCUAAGAUUUUUUUUUUACUUUUAAGGU